UUCCGGUUGAUCCUGCCGGAGGCCAUUGCUAUCGGAGUCCGAUUUAGCCAUGCUAGUCGUACGGGUUUAGACCCGUGGCGGAAAGCUCAGUAACACGUGGCCAAACUACCCUGUGGACGGGGAUACUCUCGGGAAACUGAGGCUAAUCCUCGAUACAGCUUCCAGCCUGGAAUGGCGGAAGCUGGAAACGUUCCGGCGCCACAGGAUGUGGCUGCGGCCGAUUAGGUAGACGGUGGGGUAACGGCCCACCGUGCCAGUAAUCGGUACGGGUGAUGAGAGUCAGAGCCCGGAGACGGUAUCUGAGACAAGAUACCGGGCCCUACGGGGCGCAGCAGGCGCGAAACCUUUACACUGCACGCCAGUGCGAUAAGGGGACUCCGAGUGCGAGGGCAUACAGUCCUCGCUUUUCUGGACCGUAGGGAGGUCCAAGAAUAAGGGCUGGGCAAGACCGGUGCCAGCCGCCGCGGU
rnacentral:rRNA from 1 species